rnacentral:lncRNA from 1 species
GUCACUUUUUAUGUGACUUUCUUAAAUAACGUAAAAGAUGACCUACAAACUUCUUAUAAAAGUUUACGAUAGGGAGUACCUUACUUAUUGCUUCAUGUUAUUUGGUAGUCAGUCUAUAUAUACCUCUUCUUGCGCCUGCAACACCAUCUAUGUUCUCAUAACUCCCCGUGCAAGCACUUUGUUGCUAUUCCAUCACGUGUAGGCAUGUGAGGCAUCGGGAUGGUUACAACAUCUGAAAAGUCUACAUCGGCAUAUUGACAAGAUCAGACAUUUGCUCGCAGGUUGGUCUCGACACACCAAUGCAAUGUUGUUGAAGCUCAUUGAUUGCGGGUGGAAAAAACCAGAGCUUAAGUAGUAGUUGGAACUCACGAACUUUGUUGUGGAGUGUCUGUCUGCACGUCCAUUGUUGUGUAGUUCAUCUCAAAGAUGAAGCGCAAGACAAACUGACAUCUGAUUCUUCCCCGGCUCGUGCCUCAAAUAGCUAGGGGAUGUUUCCAUGCAGUUACAAACCCCAACUUUGACAGUUAUUGCUAUUUUUCUUUUAGCUGACACUGUUAGAACUCGUGGUAUGGUUCUAAGAGCCAGGGUGACCACCUUUUCCUGAAAAAAGUAGACCUUAUAUUCCUAAUGAUUGUCUUGCCAAGGUCUAUAAGAGAUCAUAUCCCAGAACUCAAUUGGGAGAUUAUUUUUCUGGUGAACAAAUUCACCAAGAGGGGCCAAAAGAUAUGGUUACUGAGUGAUAAUCAAACUGUCGCCUAGUAACAGGACCCUACAGGUUGUAAAGAACAAUUUAAGUCGACCUUGUUCCAUGGAUUUAUAAAAAAUAUCCAAAGUAAUCUUUGUUCGAUUAUGAAUUGCCUUUUCUUCUCUUUCUUUGAAUAGAUUGGUAGUUCUACAACAUUUCAUGUUUAAUAUACUCUCUCUUUUUUGCAGGGAGAAUAUACUCUCCCAAGCCUUGUUUCAGGUACACCAUAUUAGACACAAUACUUAUUUCAGGGUACCUACCCUUCUUUUAGGGUACUUCUAUCUAUCCUUCCUAGCCAAAACAACCAGAGUGGGCGAGACUUCACUACACUCGACGCAUAUGCGCAAGCUGCGAGGUGGGAGAUGAAUUAUGGCAUGCAAGGGGGCGCAUGUUUGAUGAUCUCUUUUUAUUUUGGCCUUUGAUUUUGCAUGUUUUAUAUAUUUUAAACAAAAAAUUCAAAAUAAGUUAUGUUUUCGUAUAUGUCUUUCUCGUGACCAGCGCUUUCUAAUAAGUUGCAUUAU